GAUGAACGCUAGCGGCAGGCCUAAUACAUGCAAGUCGGACGGGAUUCAGGAGCUUGCUUCUGAUGAGAGUGGCGCACGGGUGCGUAACACGUAUGUAACCUACCUUUAUCAGGGUGAUAGCCUCUCGAAAGAGCGAUUAAGCCCGCAUAAAAUCACAGCACAGCAUUGUGUAAUGAUCAAAUAUUUAUAGGAUAAAGAUGGGCAUGCGGAACAUUAGCUAGAUGGCGGGGUAACGGCCCACCAUGGCGACGAUGUUUAGGGGAUCUGGGAGGAUGGCCCCCCACACUGGUACUGAGACACGGACCAGACUCCUACGGGAGGCAGCAGUAAGGAAUAUUGGUCAAUGGGCGGAAGCCUGAACCAGCCAUGCCGCGUGCAGGAAGACGGCCCUACGGGUUGUAAACUGCUUUUAUACGGGAAUAAACCCAGAUACGUGUAUCUGGCUGAAUGUACUGUAAGAAUAAGGAUCGGCUAACUCCGUG
rnacentral:rRNA from 1 species